CAUGCUUCUAUUGGAAAAUUUGUUGUUAGCUAUUUUGAUGGUAGAAUCAUUUUUAUCAUAAACUAUGGAGGAUAUUUGAUUUAUGUUGAGUUAGUUUAUGAUCAUGAUAUAUAUUCUCGUUUUUGAUGUUUUUACUUGCAUGAAAUUAAUUCUAGGUUUUGUUGUCUAGAUAUUGACUUAGGGUUUCAUGCUAGUCAAUCUUUACAUGAAUUGUCGUUAGUUGACAAUGGUAGUAAUCAUGUUGUUUCGUUGGAGCAAUCUUCAUUGCAUGAUUUGCUAUCAUAUGGUUUUGAUUCAAGAAGUGUUUAUCAUCAAGAUGGUUUGAGAGAUGAGUUAUUUGCAUGUUUAGUUAGUUCACUUAGAUUAGCUAAGGCAUUGCAUACUUCCAUGGAAUUGUUGAAUUAUAUUUUGAAUUCUUUCAUGGGAAAAUUUGUUAUUCUCUAUUUUGAUGAUAUUUCGAUUUUUGUCAACACUUUGGGAAAUUCUUUAGCAUGUGUUGAGUUUGUUUGUGAUCAUCGUCGAUAUGCUAUUGAAUUUUCAACUUAUGAUUGUGACCUUUUUAUUCCGUUGGUGCUAUUAUGUGAUUUUGAUUGUGUUAAUGUCAAUGGAAGGAGAAAGGUUGGUUGUGUUUUGCAGAUUCGUGAUAGGAUCAUAUUCAUCGAGGGAAACAUGGAUCGUGCAAUUCAAUUCGAUCAAUGCAUUGAGAGUUUACAGGGAAGUGUUUUGAAUAUUAU
rnacentral:lncRNA from 1 species